rnacentral:misc_RNA from 1 species
AAGUCGUAACAAGGUUUCCGUAGGUGAACCUGCGGAAGGAUCAUUAAUAAAAUGAUAAUUUUUUUGGGGUUUUCCCUGAAAAAUAAUUCACCACUUGUGCACUGUUAUAAGAUAUACUUUGGUUAGAGCUUUGGUUUCAUUUUUUGAAAUCAACUUCUUGCUAACUCUAUCCUUUCUGAGGACAGUUGGCUAUGAAGCGGCCUACCAAGGUUUUUUUAUCAAACUCUUGUAUUUUGUCUGACCUAAAUCAUUAUAAUAAAAUCAUAACUUUCAACAACGGAUCUCUUGGCUCUC